rnacentral:rRNA from 1 species
CCUACGGGUGGCUGCAGUAAGGAAUAUUGGACAAUGGCGGAGACGCUGAUCCAGCUAUCCCGCGUGCAGGAUGAAGGACCUAUGGUUUGUAAACUGCUUUAGACUGGGGCGAAAAAGUGGGAUUUAUCCUACAUUGACGGUACCAGUAAAAUAAGCACCGGCUAACUGCGUGCCAGCAGCCGCGGUAAUACGGAGGGUGCAGGCGUCAUCCGGAAUCACGGGGGAGUAAGGGUGCGGCUAAGUCUUGCGUGAAAGGCCACGGCGUAACCGUGGGAUUGCUUUUGGUACUGGCGAGCUUGGAUUAGGACGAGGUUGGCGGAAUGUGGCAAGUAGCGGUGAAAUGCAUAGAUAUGCCAUAGAAUACCGAUUGCGAAGGCAGCUGACUAGACCUAUAUUGACGCUGAGGCACGAAAGCGUGGGGAGCGAACAGGAUUAGAUACCCGAGUAGUC